ensembl:lncRNA
GUGGGAUCUUGUCCUUGUAUUGUUGCUGUUGAGCUUUACAAGGCUGCACGUGGCGGUGGUUCUCUUUUUUCUUGUUAUCAGUAAAGAAUGUGAUUAACCUACCCCACGCUACAUCUUGGUAUAAUUCCACCAACGCCGAUCGUUACAAUGAUAGAACGAUAGGCAAAUAUUGUACAAUCCAGGUGUGGAAAGGUCUCACUUACCCAGGAAGACUCACAGCCGCAAUUGCUGCCAAAGUGAACCAUGGGAAGUUUACUAAGCUGGAGGACUCGUAUGCGUUCGAGGAGGACAGCAGCAGUGGUACAGUGGUAGUCCGUCUCCAGAGCAACACCACAGUGAUGAGUCACAGGGGUCUGCAUGCCUAAGUGCAGCACCAGCCCUCAAUAGCCCUAAACAGGUUGCUCUGGAAUUCAUGAGACUGGUAUCUGUGGACCUCAAGAAGAUAUUUUAUGAAGGCCUGGACAGUCAUCUUUCCAAGCUCCUUGAAUUCUACCGGGCCAAGAGCGAUGGAGGGAUGGAGCUAAAACACCUUAUGGAAAGUCUUGACAAAGACAGAGGUUCCAUUAUAUUCACAUUCAAUUCCAAUCAAGGGAAGCGAGAGGGUGUGCCCCGAGGAUUGCCAUACUUCCUGCGAGAAGACCCUACCAAUUUCUUUUAAAGAUAAGAAACUAAGCCUUUCUCUUGGACAACUUCAUCUUGGACUGCAAAGCAAAAAUCAGGACCAUACAUUAAACCCAAUACUAGGUUUGGGCAAUAAUACCUAACUACCAUGUAAACUACUAUUGAUAGCUGUUGUCGACGGCUGUGAAAUGUAAGUAUGCGCAGGUUUUUGGAUAUUUUAAUGUAUUACACACCCCUGGUGUAUGGCAGCACACAAUACUGCUGUGCCCUUAGUGAUAUGUCAAAUUCCCCCUUAGACAACAGAAUUAAAGUGGCACUGUGAGGAAUUCCAAAUUCUAUACCAAAGCUGUAAAAAUAUUUAUUAUUGAUGGGACAAUUCAUCCCUACACCAUGCAGUGCUGAUUUUGCCAUCUGAACAGGAAUUGCAAUCAGUUUUGCUUCAAGAUUGUUUGUCAGUGGGCUCGCUCCGGUCCGUCUUCAAUAUAAACUUUGCAUUUUUAGGCUAUACUUUUGUGU